GCCUCACCACUGGCUUUGAAACAAUCGCUUGUAUUCUCUGCCCGGCAGGAAGCAGCAGACCCAUCAAGGCCCUGGGCUCACUCUUUGUUCUGACUUUAUGGCAUUUUAUGCCACAAUAAGAAACACUGUGUACUCCGUGGGAGCCCAUUGUGCCAGGCUGCAAGGAUGUGGGCUCCGGUGCAGAGGGCCUGGUGCUCUUCCCCAGGAAGAAGAGGGGCUUUGUGACAGCCUGGGGGACAAAACAAGGGGUGCCGGACACUGUUACUGAGGCAACUGCCUGGCCAGUGUGGAGGCAGCUUUAGUCCCUGGGACCGUUUCUGUGCCCAAGGAGAGGGAGGGCAGGGGAAGGAUGGAAUUUCAUCUAGAGUAGCAGGUCCUGGUUACCCGGUAAAUUAUGCAUCAGGACUGGGCUAGCCACUGCCUCCGUUUUCUCUGGGCUCCUGAGAUAACCUCCACCUGCCUCAAGAUUCUGUGCCAGCUGAUUGUAUCUAUCUCAUCAACUCUUGUUCCAUCAGGAAAUUGCAUCUUGGAGCAGCAGGCCUGGCUCCUGCCCAGGAGGCACCUGGCCUAGAUCUCAGCGUCACUGAGGAGUUAACCAAGGGAAGCGGCACCAGCAUCACACCCUGUUCCAGCCAACAGUCUCCAGCGUCCCUGACAGAUGUCGGGAAGUUCUUUUCCCCGUAAGAUCCCGGAGAAUGUCCUGAGGCUGCCAUGUGGAAGCUCUGGGGCCUUUCUCGUCUCCCACUGCCAGCCUAAUGAGCUGUGCUGGUAGCAACAGAUGGCGCCCCGCAGGGUCUCACUUGGAUAGCUUGGAAAGUUCCUGGACACUAGUUGGACUUGCCGUGAAAACCAUUAAUCUUGGCCUUUCAGAGAAAAUCUUCAGAAGAAUUUAUUUGCAAGAAUCCCAGGUCUGACAUGGAAGAAGUUUUGAUGACUUACUGCCAACUUUGUAUCACCCCCAAAAUGCUUUAGAGAAACACCUCUCUACAGAGGAAAGCAAGGAACUGUGACUUUAACUAGUG